UGCGCAGGCGGGGAUGUAAGUCAGUGGUGAAAUACUGCCGCUUAACGGUAGAACUGCCAUUGAUACUGCAUCUCUUGAGUAUGGUUGAGGUAGGCGGAAUGUGUUGUGUAGCGGUGAAAUGCAUAGAUAUGACACAGAACGCCAAUUGCGAAGGCAGCUUACUAAGCCAUUACUGACGCUGAGGCACGAAAGCGUGGGGAGCGAACAGGAUUAGAUACCCUGGUAGUCC
rnacentral:rRNA from 1 species